rnacentral:ncRNA from 1 species
GAUUUACUGAGGGCGGAACUGGCAGCCGCCGCCGGAUAGUCGAAAGACUUGAUUAGGAGAUGCAGGAUAGUCACCCUGCCUUAAAUC